rnacentral:snRNA from 1 species
GUGCUCACUUUGGCAGCGCGUACACCAAAACUGAAACGCUGCAGAGAGGCGUGGCACAGCCCUGCACAAAGGUGGCACACAGGUCUGUGGAGCAUUCCAUAGUUUU